GGAAGCCCAUGAUGGCUUUCCAGGCCCUUCCUCAGUUCUGCUCAGCAACCAGGCAUGUCCUGCAUGGGAGGAAGAAACACCAGAUUAGACCCUACCCUGCUGCCAAGGGGCAAGCACUGCUUCUUCUCCUGGGAUGGACCUCAGAGGAGGGCUGGACUUGGCACUUGUGUUUCUUCAAGAAAACUUGGUCUUUCAGCCACAGGCCCAAGUACCAGGGGUUGUGGACCAGCAGUGAGUCAUCAAGAAGUUCCCUUGGUACAAAGAAGAUUCGAGCUUCAGUGCAUGCUGCAUAGUCAUUGUAUUGCUUGUGCGGCUGUGUUUGUGUACCGUUAUUGCUGUAAGUGGCUGUGGUGUUAACUAUGCUAGACAAGGAAAUGUAAGCACAAGUUCUGGUUCGGUUCUGGAAUAUCUGGAAAGUGGCUACAGAAAAUGGUACAUCCCUGGAGCAUGGCCUCUUAGGCCUCAAACAUAUCAGUCACGCCAAAGAUCGAGAAUGGUGGAUGGACCAUUUGUUUGUAUUCUCAUCCUUUUGUUCAUUUCCUUUUGACCCUUAGCAUCUCUCCAGCAUCUUGCAGGGCAGAGGGGCGCUGGGUGUGCUCACGUGGCACCAAGCAAUCCUUUUGAAACAACAAGGAAAGCGUUGCCCAUUAUAUAGAAGGGGCACGAUUCCCAGGAACAUGUCUGGUCCCCAAAAACCCUGAUCAUGGGAUGUUUGUCUGAUCCAGAAAGCCAUCUUAAAUAUUAAAAAAUACCAUAAUUUGA